AUUCAGUGAACAGAGGAGAGGAAUGCAGAGCACAAAAGCGCUAAUUCAGGAGUACAGAUGCAUUUAGACUCUGCCUCAGAGACCUCUGAGGUCUACAUUCAUAUUCCUGGACUUAGCUCAAGGAUCACGCUGCCGUGUGUUAAUAUGGUGUAAUCCAGAUAUGGAAGAGAUUAGUGUCAAAUGUGAGAUCAGGAAUUUGUAAACUCCGUUAUGAACAUGUCUUUGAAAAAUGUCUACAAGAAUAGCUGCUUUUCCAAUUAGUGUCAGAAUUUGAGGAAAAACCAUAUAAGUGUACACUAACAUGAAAAGAUAGAAAGAAGAAAAUGCAACUGGAAUUUUAAGUAGGGGAAGUUAUUUAUAAGAUAAAAUCAAUGGAGGAAAUAAUAAGGGAAAAAAUUGCUCCAUCUGACUAAAGUAAAAUUAAAUCUCUGUCAAACUGCUAUACAAUUAAAAGGCCAUAGUUUAUGCCUAUGUCUAAGGAGGAAUAAGACUUAACAGACACAAAUGUCCCCACUAACCCCUGCAAUUUUUAUGUGGCUACAUGGGACCAGAAUUGGGAAGGCGAGUGAAAUGUCUCCUACAUGUGUGUAUGCCCUUCACCCAUUUUCCAAACCGUGUGGGUACCCCCAACCAUGCAGAAAAAGGAUCUAUUAGAGGGUGUAAGUAUAAAGCUAGGAUGUUUAAGAAGACAAUCAUUAACCCAAAAGAAUGAAGCUCUAAUAAAGGAAUUGCAAGCAUCAUAUUAAGUUAUAGGAAACGACUUUUAGUCUCAAACCCAAAAGCCAAUAUCUGGAGUCUGAAUAACAUAGAAAGAGGAUGCACCUUUAGAAAUCCCUGGCUAACGUAAAAUAAAAUAGCCUUUUUUUGGGGCUUCAUUAUCUGGUGUUGUUGGAAAAGUAGUUUCUUGUGCCCACAUUUGGAAGAUGAGACAUGAUGAAAUUAAACAGGUCUUUCCUAAGAAGCAGCAGCUCGUGGCACCCACCCCACUAGAUGGAGGAAAAUGGAUGACUACAUGGCUUCUACUGGGAAUAUACAUUUCUCAAGAUGGAACCAGAUCUUGCUUUUUUCUGUCUCCUCAGCAGCAUCUGACUUUGUGCCUUGCAUUUCAUAGGUUUUUAUUAAAUAUGUACUGAAUGGAAUUGAAUAGACCUGAACUUUGAGUUGAAUUUUACUGCAGUGCUUCUCAACUGCAUAUGCAGAAGAAGCAACUAGAAAGCUUACUAAAAUGUAGAUUCUUGCCAUUUUAAUUCAAUAGCUCCAGAGAGGGUCUUAGGAACCUACAUUUUCAACUAGCUAAUGAGUGAUUUUGAUUAAAGUAUCAAUUUGUGCACUCUUUCACAGUCUCCCUUAUGAUGAAAUAUAUUUGUGAGACCAUUGGCCAAGAAUAAAGAUGCGUUGUGAGUUUAGGAACAAUGACAAAGAGUAUCGGUCCACAUAGUCCUAACCCUAUGAUCUUCAUUUCAAUAACAGAGACCUCUAAUCAGAAGUUCUCAAAAUGCCCAGGGAGAAGGAAUCCAAUGCUUCUGUCAAGUGCCAUCGUCAGUCUUCCCUUCCUCCCCUCCCCAGGUGGAGAUAAAAUUCUCUGGAAGUCCUGAAGGAGGGUCUAGGACAAAUUUGGCUUUCCGUCUACUGACAUCAGUAUAGAAGUCAAACCUUCAAAGAAUAGACAGGCAUUUUAGAAAGAAAUAAAGAGCUUAAACCAAAAGUCAUUACAACACUGACAACCUGCAACAUGAUAUGCUCAAUUGGUUAAUGUUUGUAAAGUGCUUUGAUCUUAUAAACACUGAGAUAAUCCCAGGCCUUGUUUAUUGAGUGCUUCUCUUCCCAAGGGCUCAAAGUGAUUUUAGGCAAUGAGCCCAGUUUUUUU